AUUGAACGCUGGCGGCAGGCCUAACACAUGCAAGUCGAGCGAGCGGCGGACGGGUGAGUAAUGUAUGGGGACUGCCCGAUAGAGGGGGAUAACUACUGGAAACGGUAGCUAAUACCGCAUACUAUCGGAUAACCCAUAUGGGAUUAGCUAGUAGGUGAGGUAAUGGCUCACCUAGGCGACGAUCCCUAGCUGGUCGGAGAGGAUGAUCAGCAACACUGGGACUGAGACACGGCCCAGACUCCUACGGAGGCAGAAGUGGGGAAUAUUGCAAAAUGGGCGCAAUCCAGAUGCAGCCAUGCCGAGUGUAUGGGGAAGGCCAUAGGGUUGUAAAGUACUUUCAGUCGGGAGGCGGUACCGACAGAAGAAGCACCGGCUAACUCCGUGCCAGCCGCCGCGGUAAUAC
rnacentral:rRNA from 1 species